UACGAAGGGUGCAAGCGUUACUCGGAAUUACUGGGCGUAAAGCGUGCGUAGGUGGUUUGUUAAGUCUGAUGUGAAAGCCCUGGGCUCAACCUGGGAAUUGCAUUGGAUACUGACAAGCUAGAGUGCGGUAGAGGAUGGCGGAAUUCCCGGUGUAGCAGUGAAAUGCGUAGAGAUCGGGAGGAACAUCUGUGGCGAAGGCGGCCAUCUGGACCAGCACUGACACUGAGGCACGAAAGCGUGGGGAGCAAACAGG
rnacentral:rRNA from 1 species